rnacentral:rRNA from 1 species
GUGAGGAAUAUUGGGCAAUGGGCGGAAGCCUGACCCAGCAACGCCGCGUGGAGGAAUGAAGGCCUUCGGGUUGUAAACUCCUUUUGCAGGGGAAGAGGAAGGACGGUACCCUGCGAAUAAGUCACGGCUAACUACGUGCCAGCAGCCGCGGUAAUACGUAGGUGACGAGCGUUAUCCGGAAUUACUGGGCGUAAAGCGCACGCAGGCGGCUGAAUAAGUCUGACGUGAAAUCUCUCGGCUUAACCGGGAGGGGUCGUUGGAGACUGUUUGGCUUGAGGCGAUGAGAGGGGUGUAGAAUUCCCGGUGUAGUGGUGGAAUGCGUAGAUAUCGGGAGGAAUACCAGUGGCGAAAGCGGCACCCUGGCAUUAGCCUGACGCUCAUGUGCGAAAGCGUGGGGAGCAAACGGGAUUAGAUACCCUUGUAGUCC